rnacentral:rRNA from 1 species
GGAGGAUGCAAGUGUUAUCCGGAAUUAUUGGGCGUAAAGCGUCUGUAGGUGGUUUAAAAAGUCCAUGGUUAAAACUUGAAGCUUAACUUCAAAGAUGCCAUGGAAACUUUUAAACUUGAGUAUGGUAGGGGUAAAGGGAAUUUCCAGUGGAGCGGUGAAAUGCGUAGAUAUUGGAAAGACCACCGACGGCGAAGGCACUUUACUGGGCCAUUACUGACACUAAGAGACGAAAGCUAGGGGAGCAAAUGGGAUUAGAUACCCCAGUAGUCCUAGCUGUAAACGAUGGAUACUAGAUGUUGUGUGUAUUGACCCAUGCAGUAUCGUAGCUAACGCGUUAAGUAUCCCGCCUGGGAAGUAUGCUCGCAAGAGUG